rnacentral:rRNA from 1 species
CAGUCGCCGCGGGAAUACGAAGGGUGCAAGCGUUACCCGGAAUUACUGGGCGUAAAGCGUGCGUAGGUGGUGGUUUAAGUCCGUUGUGAAAUCCCCGGGCUCAACCUGGGAAUGGCAGUGGAUACUGGCUCGCUAGAGUGCGUCAGAGGAUGGUGGAAUUCCCGGUGUAGCGGUGAAAUGCGUAGAGAUCGGGAGGAACAUCAGUGGCGAAGGCGACCAUCUGGGACAACACUGACGCUGAGGCACGAAAGCUAGGGGAGCAAAUAGGAUUAGAUACCCCCGUAGUCCCUGUCUCUUAUAC